CACGUAGGCGGGCUGAUAAGUCAGGUGUGAAAUCCCUCGGCUCAACCGAGGAACUGCGCCUGAAACUGUCAGUCUUGAGGGCAGGAGGGGAGAGUGGAACUCUUGGUGGAGCGGUGAAAUGCGUAGAUACCAAGAGGAACGCCGGUGGCGAAAGCGACUCUCUGGCCUGUUUCUGACGCUGAGGUGCGAAAGCGUAGGGGAGCAAACA
rnacentral:rRNA from 1 species